AACCUUAUGGACCUGCGGGCGUAUACCUGCGGAAGGAUCAUUACAUUCAGUAGCCUAGCUACUUGUUUACACCCUUGUUUUUUUGCGCACUUCACUGUAUCCCUCGGCGGGCUUGCUCGCCGGUUGGACAACAUUUAUAACCUUUUUUAAUCUUCAAUCAGCGUCUGAAUUAUAUUUAAUAAUUACAACUUUCAACAACGGAUCU
rnacentral:misc_RNA from 1 species